GUGACUCUGUUCAACGGCCGCGGUAUCCUAACCGUGCGAAGGUAGCGUAAUCACUUGUUCUUUAAAUGAGGACUAGUAUGAAUGGCACCACGAAGGUUAUACUGUCUCCUCUCUCUAAUCAGUGAAACUAAUCUCCCCGUGAAGAAGCGGGAAUAAACAUAUAAGACGAGAAGACCCUAUGGAGCUUUAAACUAUGUAACACUUGCACCACCACAACACAAAUUUCAGAAAAAUCUCUACAACCCAUGCAAGCUUAUUACCAGUUUUAGGUUGGGGUGACCGCGGAGCAAAAAACAACCUCCACAUUGAAAGGAACUUACUCCUUAGCCAAGAGCCACACCUCCACGCACCAUUAUAAUGACAUUAAUUGACCCAAUAUUUUGAUCAACGAACCAAGUUACCCUAGGGAUAACAGCGCAAUCCAUUUCAAGAGCUCCUAUCGACAAAUGGGUUUACGACCUCGAUGUUGGAUCAGGGUAUCCCGGUGGUGCAGCCGCUACCAAA
rnacentral:rRNA from 1 species